rnacentral:rRNA from 1 species
AUUGAACGCUGGCGGCAGGCCUAACACAUGCAAGUCGAACGAGUGGCGGACGGGUGAGUAAUGUCUGGGAAACUGCCCGAUGGAGGGGGAUAACUACUGGAACCGGUAGCUAAUACCGCAUACCAUCGGAUGUGCCCAGAUGGGAUUAGCUAGUAGGUGGGGUAACGGCUCACCUAGGCGACGAUCCUUAGCUGGUCUGAGAGGAUGACCGGCCACACUGGAACUGAGACAGGGUCCAGACUCCUACGGGCGGCAGCAGGGGGGAAUAUUGCACAAUGGGCGCAAGCCUGAUGAAGCCAUGCCGCGUGUAGGAGGAAGGCCUUCGGGUUGUAAAGUACUUUCAGCGGGGAGGCGUUCCUCACAGAAGAAGCACCGGCUGACUCCGUGCCAGCAGCCGCGGUAAUUC